UUACAUUUUGGGGAUUAUCAUUAUUGCAUGCUUUUACUCUACUGUUUGUCUAUGGUCAAGCAUUCAGUAGAUGUAGGCCACACCUUUGAUGCGUAUUCGAUUGGGUUUCACUGGCUGCUAUGUUGAUCAGGCUUUAGAAUCUAAUGAUUCAAUCUGGCAUGAUCUUACUAAUCAGUCUUUAGGGCUAUUGUAGAUAGUUUCAGUUUCACAGGUAGUUUCUUAUGAAGCAGUUUCGUCUCGACUCCAUACAUAUGCUGACCUUCCAUGGGCUUCAUCUAUGAUAAGAAAUUCUAUUUCUAAUGCCCGUUUGCUUUCUCCGGCCUAGGGAGGCUCAGAAAGCUGUUGAUGAAGCUAAGGCUCAGUUUGGUCACAUUGAUGGAGAUCACCUAAUGCUGUGAAAUGUAUAUCACGCGUACAAGCAGAACAGGGAGGACCCGUCAUGGUGUUAUGAGAAUUUUAUUGACCAAAGGACUCUAAAGGCUGCUGACAAUGUGAGGCAACAGCUUGUGCGUAUUAUGGCUAGAUUCAACCUCAAGCUAUGAAGUACAGAUUUCAACAGCCGUGAUUAUUACAUUAACAUCAGGAAGGCGAUGCUUGCGGGGAACUUCAUGCAGGUAGCUAAUUUUGAGAAAAGUGGAAACUACCUGACAGUGAAGGACGAUCAGAUUGAUCGAUAUGGUUCGACACUACACUACUAUGAUUUGAGCAAACUUUCCCUCUGUGCGAGGCGAAACGAGUACCGGAAAGGUUGCAUUAUAAACGUGGGAAAGAGAAGGGGGAGAAUAAAA